UACGGGGGGGGGCAAGCGUUGUUCGGAAUUACUGGGCGUAAAGGGCUCGUAGGCGGCCAACUAAGUCAGACGUGAAAUCCCUCGGCUUAACCGGGGAACUGCAUCUGAUACUGGAUGGCUUGAGUUUGGGAGAGGGUCGCGGAAUUCCCGGUGUAGAGGUGAAAUUCGUAGAUAUCGGGAGGAACACCAGUGGCGAAGGCGGCGAUCUGGGUCGAUACUGACGCUGAGGUGCGAAAGCGUGGGGAGCAAACAGG
rnacentral:rRNA from 1 species